UCAGCCGUCUGCCCUUGAAUCG
rnacentral:misc_RNA from 1 species